AUACGAGUUUGAUCAUGGCUCAGAACGAACGCUGGCGGCAGGCCUAACACAUGCAAGUCGAGCGAACCCUUCGGGGUUAGCGGCGGACGGGUUAGUAACGCGUGGGAAUAUACCCUUUGGUACGGAAUAGCCUCGGGAAACUGAGAGUAAUACCGUAUGUGCCCUUCGGGGAAAGAUUUAUCGCCAAAGGAUUAGCCCGCGUUGGAUUAGAUAGUUGGUGGGGUAAUGGCCUACCAAGUCUACGAUCCAUAGCUGGUUUGAGAGGAUGAUCAGCAACACUGGGACUGAGACACGGCCCAGACUCCUACGGGAGGCAGCAGUGGGGAAUCUUAGACAAUGGGCGCAAGCCUGAUCUAGCCAUGCCGCGUGGACGAUGAAGGCCUUAGGGUUGUAAAGUCCUUUCAGAUGGGAAGAUAAUGACGGUACCAUCAGAAGAAGCCCCGGCUAACUCCGUG
rnacentral:rRNA from 1 species